CAGUGAAAAGGAUGAAGUGUCCAGAGUGUGUUUGAUAAGCUGAUAUGGGACAGGGAUUCUUUUCACUGUUGUGUCAGUUUAUCAAACCCAUACCUGGACGCCAGUUACAGUUAAGGAGU
rnacentral:pre_miRNA from 12 species